AUUGAACGCUGGCGGCAGGCCUAACACAUGCAAGUCGAACGGUAACAGGAAGCAGCUUGCUGCUUUGCUGACGAGUGGCGGACGGUUGAGUAAUGUCUGGGAAACUGCCCGAUGGAGGGGGAUAACUACUGGAAACGGUAGCUAAUACCGCAUAACGUCGCAAGACCAAAGAGGGGGACCUUAGGGCCUCUUGCCAUCGGAUGUGCCCAGAUGGGAUUAGCUAGUAGGUGGGGUAACGGCUCACCUAGGCGACGAUCCCUAGCUGGUCUGAGAGGAUGACCAGCCACACUGGAACUGAGACACGGUCCAGACUCCUACGGGAGGCAGCAGUGGGGAAUAUUGCACAAUGGGCGCAAGCCUGAUGCAGCCAUGCCGCGUGUAUGAAGAAGGCCUUCGGGUUGUAAAGUACUUUCAGCGGGGAGGAAGGGAGUAAAGUUAAUACCUUUGCUCAUUGACGUUACCCGCAGAAGAAGCACCGGCUAACUCCGUG
rnacentral:rRNA from 1 species